GUUAAAAGAUAGUUUAUAAAUGUAUAUGUUCGAUAAACAGUUUAUGAUUUUGAUUGGCGUGUUUUCGGUGCUGCACCUAGGCGAGGUCAUAGUGGGUGUGCUCUAGUCAGUCUGCGGUCAAAAGUCGCGGUCAACUAUUUUGGAACAGCAUCAUCCAAAGCACUAGCUUUAAAUAUGGUUCCCAAACUUUUCCUUAACCCCAGCUUAUCCCUAUACGCUCGCUGCAAACCUCACGCAUGUUAAGUGUGCAACUCUACACACGGUAGCUUAAACUGCUUGAAGCUAUAGAGAAAAUUAGUGUUACCCCCAAAUUAGUAUCAACCUUGCCUUUGUUUGUCACUUAUGCGAGCUUUGAGCUUAUAUAAGGCACUUCCAAAGGCGAAGCAAUUUCCCCCCCUCAUAUUUGUUAUUACAGCACCUGUUGAAUUCGUCGGGGCGACGCAACGCUACCAUAACAACCCUAAUCAGUACUGGAGUCAAAGUAGUGGGAUAGAUUUUACAGAAGAACAGCAAGAAGAAUAGAGACAGAUAAAUAGCAGAUAUAGACAUCCAGGGUGGUAGAUAGAUAGAAGAUCAGAAGACUUGUGCGAAGACUAAAAUAUUACUGGGCUAUGCGUUGGGCGCCAUUGUUAUGUAACUGGUUGUUGGGGUAAAGCGAGGCGGUGGGAAGGCAUGGUGGCGAGCCCAGGCUAAGCUCGUCGGAUGGGUGGGUCGUUUCCACCAGCCUUACCUUCAGCUACGUAAACAAAACUAUAGGUCAUGCCUAGGUGGAGGUAAAAAUAAGAAAGAUAAGAUAGAUGUUAGAGUAUGAUGGAAGAAAAGACCAGUCCUGUCAGGUGGAGUCAUCCCUCCCCAUCUACACGUCGUAGCCUUGGACUCUGCCAUGACUCCUUCAAAUCGCAGAGUCCCCUAAUCCUGACUAGUGUCCGUAUGUCAUUUUAUCUGUCAUGUCCCUGUCCACAGUCUGAAGUCAGCAACACCCAUGUCCCCUCUAUUGCACUAGUGCAACACCCACACCAAACCAAUUAUCUUAGCAACUCAUUCUUAUAUCUUUUCAACUUCUCUACAUUAGAAUCUUUUAUUCAUUACAAAAAUAACAAUACUAACUGCAAUAAUUUGACCUAUUACUAUAUACUAAAAGCUACAGCUUGACGAUUCAUUAAAUUCAAAUUCCUUGUUCUUAGACCUCAACUGAAAACUAAUUCAAACUAGAUGAUCUAUACUUAUCUACCUAAGCCUUCAUUCGAAAGGAACCUGGCCCAAUAAUCAAGUACGCUGCUGUAGAUAUCUCAAAGCUACUACCUCUAUGUACAAAUUUCACAAGAAACCAAGAAUAUAGCACUCACCGGUCUCUUCAACGAUGAAGGCGCCUGCAUGCGGGAGACAGGUUGCUGAAAACAAAAAAAUAUGUACGUACGUAUGUACAAGCUUUCCAGCGAGUACGGGAGAGUAUAUGUUUAUCAUAGAUGGAGCAUAUUUGGGUCUACAAUGACAAUUGUCGAAGUGUCAAACUCAUUGGGACCUCGCGCUUUGAUACGACACCUUUUGGAGGACAAAUUCUUUAGAUCUAAAUUUAAAUGGAUUCUCGAUUAAAAUAAAAAAACUACAAUUCAAUUCAACGGAAUAGCUUCGCGGAUACGCAUCUUUACCAAUAAUAAUCGAAAACUCAACAAUAUAUUGGGGUAAGAAAAAAAAUCGUAAUAACUGGUACUAAACUCACCAAAAAAAGUGUAUGGAGAAAAAUGAAAACUUAGAUAUAGGAAUUCAUGCAAAGAAAGAAAUACAUAUUUAUAACUAAACAUCUGCGGCAAAUU